CCUCCUUCCUCUCUUCCCCUCAGUCUCUCUCGUCGGGAAUCUCGGUCACAACCUAGGGAAAAGUUCACGAUGAUGCUCGCACUCCGGUCGGCAGUCUGCUUGCUCCAAGUCUCUACCCAAGGGAUAGCCAGGUCCUCUGCUACCCAGGCCAGCUCAGAACCCGACCCCCACCACCGCCGUCAAUUCCACUCGUCCAUGACUCUCCAGCCCGGCAUAGCAGAAAGGGGCUUCAGAGGAGCCAGACUUGCAGUCAGAUCCUGGCUCUGCCUCCUUCUAGCUGUGGGACCCUGGCCAAGACACUUCAGUUUUCUGAACCUCCAUUUCCUCAUCUGUGAAAAUGGAGGCAAUAAAGGAGAAAAAAUAGAGCACUGGCCGGCAGGAGCCGCUUCACAUGCACACUCUUGCCACAUUCUUUUUAUUUAUGUAUUUUAUUUAUUUUAUUUAUUUUUUUUUUUUUGAGACAGAGUCUCGUUCUGUUGCCCAGGCUGGAGUGCAAUAGCGGAUCUCGGCUCGCUGCAAGCUCCACCUCCCGGGUUCACGCCAGUCUCCUGCCUCAGCCUCCCGAGUAGCUGGGACUACAGGCGCCCGCCACCAUGCACCACACCCGGCUAAUUUUUUGUAUUUUUAGUAGAGAUGGGGUUUCACUGUGUUAGCCAGGAUGAUCUCGAUCUCCUGACCGCAUGAUCCGCCCGCCUCGGCCUCCCAAAGUGCUGGGAUUACAGGCGUGAGCCACCGCACCUGGCCUCUUUUUAUUUUUUUGAGACAGGGUCUGGCUCUGUCACACAGGCUGGAGUGCAGGGGCGCAAUCACGACUCACUGCAGCCUCGACCUCCUGGGCUCAAGUGAUCCUCCUGCCUCACCCACCCAAGUAGCUCGGACCACAGCCACGUGCCUCCACAACUGGCUAAUUUUUGUAUUUUUGGAGAGAUGGGGUUUUGCCAUGUUGCCCAGGCUUGUUUAGGAAAAAACAUUAUGCCACAUUCUAACCGGAGCAGAAGUGCGCAGACAUCUCAGAGUCUAAGCUGGCAUUAACAACUUUUACAAACCCACCUAGCUGAUU
rnacentral:lncRNA from 1 species